AGAGUUUGAUUCUGGCUCAGGAUGAACGCUGGCGGCGUGCUUAACACAUGCAGGUCGAACGAAGCACCAUAGACAGAAAUCUUCGGAUGGAAGACUAUGGUGACUGAGUGGCGGACGGGUGAGUAACGCGUGGGUAACCUGCCGUAUACAGGGGGAUAACAGUUAGAAAUGACUGCUAAUACCGCAUAAGCGCACAGAGUCGCAUGACUCGGUGUGAAAAACUCCGGUGGUAUACGAUGGACCCGCGUCUGAUUAGGUAGUUGGCGGGGUAACGGCCCACCAAGCCCGCGAUCAGUAGCCGACCUGAGAGGGUGACCGGCCACAUUGGGACUGAGACACGGCCCAA
rnacentral:rRNA from 1 species